rnacentral:rRNA from 1 species
AGCGAACGCUGGCGGCAGGCCGAACACAUGCAAGUCGAACGAACCUUCGGGUUAGUGGCGGACGGGUGAGUAACACGUGGGAACGUGCCUUUUGGUUCGGAACAACUCAGGGAAACUUGAGCUAAUACCGAAUGUGCCCUUCGGGGGAAAGAUUUAUCGCCAUUAGAGCGGCCCGCGUCUGAUUAGCUUGUUGGUGAGGUAAAGGCUCACCAAGGCUACGAUCAGUAGCUGGUCUGAGAGGAUGAUGAGCCACAUUGGGACUGAGACACGGCCCAAACUCCUACGGGAGGCAGCAGUGGGGAAUCUUGCGCAAUGGGCGAAAGCCUGACGCAGCCAUGCCGCGUGAAUGAUGAAGGUCUUAGGAUUGUAAAAUUCUUUCACCGGGGACGAUAAUGACGGUACCCGGAGAAGAAGCCCCGGCUAACUCCGUGCCAGCCGCCGCAGUAAGAC